rnacentral:rRNA from 1 species
GACGAACGCUGGCGGCGUGCUUAACACAUGCAAGUCGUACGGUAAGGCCCUUUCGGGGGUACACGAGUGGCGAACGGGUGAGUAACACGUGAGUAACCUGCCCACAACUUUGGGAUAACGCUAGGAAACUGGUGCUAAUACUGGAUAUGUGCUCCUGCUGCAUGGUGGGGGUUGGAAAGCUCCGGCGGUUGUGGAUGGACUCGCGGCCUAUCAGCUUGUUGGUGGGGUAGUGGCCUACCAAGGCGGCGACGGGUGGCCGGCCUGAGAGGGUGACCGGCCACAUUGGGACUGAGAUACGGCCCAGACUCCUACGGGAGGCAGCAGUGGGGAAUAUUGCACAAUGGGCGCAAGCCUGAUGCAGCAACGCCGCGUGCGGGAUGACGGCCUUCGGGUUGUAAACCGCUUUCAGCAGGGACGAAGCUUUUUGUGACGGUACCUGCAGAAGAAGCACCGGCUAACUACGUG